rnacentral:misc_RNA from 1 species
AAGGAGCACCACGAGAACCAGGCCCGCCCGCAUGGUGUGGGAGUUCGGUGACCUUGGUCGAAUCGUGAAGAUGGCCUGUGUCUGUAGUGGAUGCAGGUCUGGUGCAGUCAACAAACAUGUCGGUCUCUUUCGGGGGCUAGAUCAUCAGACACACUAUUGGGCUUUGAGACAACAGGCCCGCAGUUCCCUGGCCCCUGUGUGGGGUGGGAGGCGUGUUGUUGCCCUGCUUUGGUGGUGGGGUGUGGUGUUUGAUUUGUGGAUAGUGGUUGCGAGCAUCUGAACGCAUAGGUUUUGUGGCUUGUGUGUUCGGUGUAAUGCAAAUUUUUCUGAUGCCCGCAUGUGCUUUCUUUCGGGGGAGUGUGUGUGGGUGACUCAUUUUUUGGUUUUGUG